AAAAGGGAUGCAAACAUUUCUAACUGCAAUCACCUAUUGCUCAUAUUCAUUUGGGUUCUAUUUGAGCUCCUUAUUGGUCUCUUUAGUAAACAAGAUCACUUCUUCAGGUCCUUCAAAUAAAGGUUGGCUAAGUGAGAACAAUCUCAACAAAGACAGGCUUGAUCUUUUCUAUUGGUUGCUUGCAGUCCUUAGCUUUCUCAACUUCCUCAGCUAUCUCCUUUGUGCUAGAUGGUAUUCUCAUAAUCCGUCUCUAUCAAGCACACAAUAUGAGGCACAUGGGGAAGACUACUUCAACC
rnacentral:misc_RNA from 1 species